GGGCGGGUGGCGGAAUUGGUAUACGCGUUAGCCUUAGGAGCUAAUGUCUGCAAAGACUUGGGAGUUCAAAUCUCCCCCUGCCCA
rnacentral:tRNA from 1 species